AGGAUCAGUCGCAAGGGCUUUCAUAUCGAUUCGCCAUCAUGAUUCAAAUCAUAAGGAUGAGAGGUGUCAAACAAGCCAGCUGUGUUCUUGAAAGUUUUGCGUCAUACUUCGUUGAAUGGCUUUCCAAUCACAUGGCAGUGGUGUGUUUGCAACAUGCUUAGGUUUUAAGCAUGAUCGAACAGUUUCUGGCCGAUUGCAUUUUGGCUUUAAAGGCUGCAUCGUCACACAUUGCAAAGAUCAUGUCUUGACGAUCAAAACCAACGCUUGUCGAUAAAUCUGACUUUGUUAAUUUUCAUCGCUAAAUUUAGGUAAAGGAAAACUCGACAAAUUUGUAAAUUCUUUGCUAUCUGUAGUCAAUAAGCUUGCAUUGAAUGUAUUUUCUGUCAAUACAGCUUAUUGCAGUCCUUUACCCCUCCAACAGAGCAAAGAUGUAAUCAACAAAAUUUUAAUCUAACUUGUUUCUGUUAACUUGUUUGAGUCUUAAAUUGCUACAAUUCAGCCUUACGUAUGGUGCAAUUUUCUACCGAUGCUUCGACUCUAUCUAUAGACCAAUUCGACUUACGGCCUCAUUUUGAAAAAUUCUUCAAAUUAUUUUGUACAAAAUUUGUGACCUCAGAUUCGGAUUGCGAGCAAUGAUUUUAGUAUACUUGGAAGUUUUCAUUAUGGAAUUGCUCACGAUAUUGAUUUUAUGACGACAAAAAGAUAGAAAAUUAUAAGGGAUUUGACCGUGAUUGGCGACUAGGGAGGUAAAGUUUCCCCCCGAAAGAUUUUUGCGGUCAAAUCUCUUACAAGUUUUCAAAUUUCAUUUCUCCGUAAAAUCUAAAAUACAAGCACAAACAAUAUGAAAAAUUGUAUCCGGCCUAAGAUUAUGGUGAUAAACCAAAUUUGAGCUUUAAAAAGUCGUAUAAUUAGGUUAGGAGAAAUUUUCAAAACGAGGCUGUAAGUCGAAUUGGUGUAUUGUGCACAGAUUGCUAAUGACCAAUAACCAAUUAACCAAUAACCAUUAACACUCUGAAAAUCCAGCCACUAUGGGGGAGUUAAGACAUCGAAAGACCAAGUCUUGAACAAACAAUAAUUUUCGUGAUUUUCAACUUCAUUGCUACAUAAACCUAAUUCAACUAAGUUCGGUCUUUUACCAUUCUGCAUAUUGGGGUUUUAUGGCAUUACAUGACAAAUGACAAGAUGUUGAUAGCGGAUCAGCAUCAUAUUAGGCCUACAUGACUCUUUUAGACUCUAAUCAUCACAAUAUCCAAUUCAUAUUUUGCUAAUCAUCCGGAAUUUACCAUUCAUCUCCUGUAAAUUCAGAUGCACGAAUCCAGGUUUCGAGCACGAACGAAAGGCAUGAAAGGCAUGAAAAGCCAGGUGUUAAACUGCAAAAUUAUUCAUACGCAGUUUUUUUAGAAUCUAAGCAUUGGACAAAUACUCAACUACUUAAUUUGUUGGUUGAUUUUACCAAGAGCUGAAGAGCAGGCUUCUAGCAAGUAAAAUAACACACAAAAGCA